UUCUUGCAAGCAAAUAACACUAGAGGGACUUAAUUCACAUGAACAAAAUUACAGAGCAUGCUAGGAAUUCAAAUCACUUUUAUCAACCAACAUGAUAAUAUUAAUCUAGUAAAAGUAUAUCAUAGAGCAGAUCAAAUCUUCACGUCAGUUCAUGCUUCAACUUCGAGUUUGAUGAUCGACAAAGUACAAAAGGGUGUACCUGGAAAUUGAAGAAUAAAGAAAGGGAAACAAAUCAUCAGUAGGCAGCAGUGCACAGACAACAACAAGCAACGAUGAACCACAGCCAGCCCCAACUUAAUCAGCCCAGAAAUAGUUUGUAAACCUAGUAAAUCGUAGGAAAAACCAGCAGCAAUAAUAACCACAAAACAGUCAUCACAGUGCAAUUCAGAGACAACUUUGGCAAUCAGAAAACCCAAUUAGAAGGACUAGGACAGAUCAAAUGAAACCCAAAUUACUAGAAACCCAACAGAAAUUUCCCUCGAUCUUUAAAAUGCCAAAAUGAUCUUCAGGAAUGUGAUUCAGCUACCCAGACUAAAAUUCAAACGAAAAUCAAAUGGAGCAGUGUUUGUUUUUGAGUUUGGCCAUUUGUUGUUUUGGUUUUUCUAUUUCUGAAUACAUUUUUUUUUGUAUUUUUUUGUGUUUGAAUGCAGAGAACUAAUCUAAAACUGGAAUCAAAGAAAAUAAUUUUCUUGUGGGAUUUUGGGACUUAAAGAUUGAAGACCACUCAAAACUAUUUCAGUGAAUCAAGAGAAAGCUGAAAAAGCACUCAGAAAUUCCAAUGAAAGAGUAGAUUUGCAGCCAUUUGUAUUUUCAGAUUAUUAGCUCUCUAGUCCUUCCAAAAUUUUCUCUCUUGUGCCUUUUGAUUUUUUAGAAUGUUAAGGGUUGCCUUUCAAGGCAAAAAAGCAUGCCAUUUAAAGGCUUAAAGCAUAGGGCAGUUUUCAGGUUUUCCAUUUUACACAUAUCCCCCUUUUGAAUUUUUGUAUUUGCUUAGGUAACCCCCAAUUCCUGACUUUCUAUCAAAGUUUAAUCACCCAAAAUCUGAUAUUCCACUUAGGACCCCUACUAGAAACUUCUGAAAUUAGUUGCAAAAUAUUCCUCCAUGUUAGAUUACUUAAAAUACCCUCCAAAUCCCCCGAUAUUACUUAGCAAACCAAACAGAUUUGGGCUCAACCUGCACACCUUUGAGUUGGGUCACAGAUGACCAAAGGAGCCCCAAACUAAUUCUAGACCGGUCCAAAAUAGACAAUCGAUUUCAGAUUCUGACUCAACCCAAUAUUAGUUAAGGGAUAAGCUCCAAAAGAAAACAGCCCAACCAAAUAAUCAAAGUCAAAUGAACUAACUCAAUUAAUCACAUGACAAUAUUUAGACCAAGACCUGAUAAUAUUAACUAUAACAAAAUAGGCUUGAAGAAUUAUUAAACAACAGUUAACUACUAUGACUAAAACCCAACUUGAAUUUCGACUGAAUUGUUCAGAAGAAGAAGAAAGGAAAGACGGAAACCCAAAUACUCAGAAAGCAUCAACCAGAGAAAAAACUCACCUCACCGGACUUGACUUCGAACCUGGCUUCUUGACUUCGACACCAAACAGUAUCAACCUCUUAUUCUCUGUCAAGAACAAGUGGGCAAUACUAAUUCGCGACGAAGUCGACUCUAAAAACCUCAAAAAAGCUGGAGCAAUCGCCUUGCAUGCUCAGGUCUGGUCAUGAAUCUUAGAGACUCAUAGAUUUGAUUUAAUAUUGAAGACGGUUGGGGAGUAUUUGGGGAAGAUAGCUCAUGGAUUUAUUACGAGAGUGAUCUGGUGGUUCCGUGGAACUAGUUUGGUAGAGUUUGAUUGCUAGGACAUCAAUGGCCAUUGUUGACUUAGGGUUAGGAGAAGAGAGACAUGAGAGGAAGAAGACGACUCGUCUCUCUGAAAUUUCGGACAAAUAUAAGAGAUUAGGAACUUAGUUCUCAUCCGUUGGAUCCUGAAGGAUCAACGGAUGAGGUUCAACUAGGCAAAACGACAUCAUUUUAGAUAUCAAAUAGGCGGACCGGAUCAGGGCUAUAUUGGACCUCGGCGGUGUUAUACUAACUUGAACCUAACAAAUUUGGCCCAAACCUGGGCCAUUAAAACAACCUUCUUCCUUUAUUCCUUUUCUCCCUUUUGGUUAGUUCCUUUUAUUUCCUUUUUGUUGUUUUUUUCUACUUUAUAUUUUUUGUUACUAAUUUUUUGAUUUAUGGAGAAUAAAACAAAAACAUCAAACUAAACUAAUUAAUGCCUAAAGUUACUUUUAACACUACUUUGUGACUAUUUCAUAAUUAAACUAAAAAAAGUAAAAUGAACUAUUUUUUUGUGAUUUUCACGUUUUGUUCUAAAAAAAUAAUCCCUAAUUAAUCCUAAAAAAAUAAAAUUAUAUCCUACGUGCCAAUGCAUAUUUUGUAUUAACAUGCACAAAUAAAAUGCAAAUAAUUAUCACAAAAUGACCCCAAAAUUCACAAAAAAAUUGAAAAUUUAAAGAAAAAUUCUUUUGUUUGGAUUUUUGGGAAUUAUUCAUAUAUAGGGCAAAACUUAUGUGCUCACACCCACUGCUAUCAAUUCUUCUGACACUUUACUUUCUGAUUCAACUAGUUCCACUUCUAUUUCUCCAACAGUAUCUACACAUCCUUCUCCUCCUCCUUUUAGGAAAUCUACCAGAACUAUACAACAGCCCACUUACCUUAAAGAUUAAGUUUCUUCUUCUGUCCAACUCCCUGAACAAUAUCCUUAUCCAAGGUUUCUUCUAGUGAUAUGCAUGUGCAUGAGCCUCAGUUAUACCAGCAGGCUGCUUCAUAACCUGUUUGGUAAGAAGCAAUGCUAAAGGAAUUUUAGGCACUUGAGGCAAACCAGACUUGGGAUAUAGUACCUCUCCCACCUCACAAGGAGGCUAUCCUUUGUAAGUCGGUGUAUAAGAUUAAACACAGAGCUUAUGGCACAAUUGAAAGGUAUAAAGACAGGUUGGUGAUAAUAGGGGACACACAAGAUGAAGGCAUUGACUUUACUGAAACUUUAUCUCCUAUUGUCAAGUUCACCACUAUCAAAUGUUUGCUCACUCUUGUUGUCAAGUGGGGGUGGACUGUCUUUCAGCUUGAUAUCAACAAUGCUUUCCUCCAUGGUGACCUCCAUAAGGAGGUUUAUAUGAAGGUUCCUCUUGAUCUUAAGGUGUGCCCUUCUUCUGAUUCUAGUCUUUCUGGUCCCUUAGUCUGCAGACUCAAGAAGUCCAUUUAUGGCCUUAGGCAGGCAUCCAGACAGUGGUUUUCCAAGCUGUCUGAAGCUCUGCAUUCCAAAGGCUACAUUGCUAGUUUGAAUGACUACUCCCUCUUCACUAAGUUUUCUCCAGGUUAUCAAGUUGUGUUAGAUGUCUAUGUUGAUGAUAUUUUACUAGCUGGUAAUGAUGUUGCGGAGAUGGAGUCUUUAAAAUCAUUUCUGGAUGCACAAUUUAAAAUAAAGGACUUGGGUCCAGUACACUACUUCUUAGGUUGGAGAUAUCUUCCCAUCCUCAAGGUUACAUCAUGAGUCAACACAAGUUCACUAGUGAUCUCCUCUAUAAAUUUAAUUGGCAACACUUCUCCCCUGUGAUGACUCCCUUGGAUCCUUAUGUUAAACUUGCCUUGAAUAUGGAUGCUCCUGUUUCUUACCCUAGCUUAUACAGAAGAUUAAUUGGGAAGCUCAACUUCCUUCAACACACUAGGCCUGAUAUUUCUUUCUCACUCCAAUAUCUGAAUCAAUUCCUCCAAAAGCCACAGGUACCUCAUAGGUUGCUGCUAUACAUGUCCUCGGGUAUUUGUUAAAUGAGCGUGCCCAAGGUAUUCUCCUCUACAGCUCUUCUGAUUUAUCUUUGCAAGCCUACUCUGAUUCUAAUUGGGCAGCCUGCUCUAUAUCUUGCAAAUCAGUGAUUGGGGAUUACAUCACUCUUAGAGGUGGUCCUAUUUCUUGGAAGAUCAAGAAACAGCCCACUAUAUCCCUUUCUUCAGCAGAACCCGAGUAUAGGGCCCUUCGCAAAGUUACAGAUGAAGUCACUUGGCUAACUAGGCUUUCAGGUGACCUUGGUUUGACUGUUUCAGGCCAUGUUCUCAUAUUUUGUGACAUCCAGGAAGCUUUACACAUUGUUUAAAUUUCGGUUUUCCAUGAACGCACGAAGCACAUUGAAAUUGAUUGUCAUUAUGUGCGCACCUGCUUGUCUUCUGGUUUGAUCUCCUUACAGUUUGUCUCCAGUACUCAACAACUACCUAUAUUAUGACCAAAUCCCUUUCUGGUCCUCUACACCAUGGGAUUUUAUGCAAGCUUGGUGUAUUCUCAUCCUCAAGCUUGAGGGGGGGGGGGUAUUAGCUUAGAUCUGCCUCAGGCCCAAGAUGACAAAAGAAAAUAACAGGCCCAUUAAGAGAGCCGGCCCCAGUUUCAGUUUUCUCAUAUUCUUUGUAUCAUAGACUAGAGAUAUUUUCAUUAUAGUUUGUUUAGUAUAAUUGUUAACAUAUAUAUACAGGCUCACAUGAAUAGAGAGAGAACAGUUUUGGUUAAAGCAAAAAUAGGCCGACUCAUUUUUCAUUCUUCAUUUCUCUCUUUUUCUCUCUUCAUCUAUGACUGAAUAUUCUAUGGAUUAUCCAAAACUGUUACAUGGUUCAGAUGCCUGCCAGCAGAUCUACCUAUUUCCAGUGGCCUCUUCAGAAAAGGGCCCUAUAAAGAAAAGAACAAUUUGGCAAAGAGUGUUGAGCAAUCCAAUUAAUAUAUGAGCUGAUGAACAGAUAUCAAAUUAAAAUGGAAAGAUGGCACAAGAAGAACAUUCAGUAAAAUUAUAUCAUUACUAAGAUGCAGCGAUCCAGUUGAUAUAACUUUAGCUUUAUAUCUAUUAGGUAGGGUUACUAGAAAAGGUUUAAUCAAAUGUUGUACAUUGAAUAGAAGGUGUUUAUAUGGUGUCAUGUGAUUAGUUGCACCAGUAUCUAGAAUCCAAGGGUUUACACCUAAUUGUGAUGAUGAACAUGUAUGAAUAUCAACAGAAGCUACAACAUAUCUAUUGAACAAACCUGCAAAGUGAGCAAAGGCAGAGUUUUCCACAUUUGCUGCUUCAGAAGUGUGACCAACUGACAUUUGUGCUUGUUGAAACAUUGUCAGAAGAUGUUGGUAUUGUUCCUUGGUGAACCCAUGUGUUGAGGAGCUAGAAGCCUGUGGAAAAGAUUUUGUAGGAGUAACAGUUGCAUUCUCAGUUUGAACAUAUGAAGCAAAUUUCUUGUUUAUGGUAAAUUUGACUUGGUGGAAAACCAUGGAGUUUGUAGCAUUUAUCCACAUUGUGACCAGGCUUAUUACAAUACUUGCAAGUAAGAGAUGCAGUACCCUUUCUAGUCUCAAAGUUGAUUUUCUGAGUAAAGUUCUUAUUAGUGUUAGAAGAUGCAGGAGAUACUAGGAAAGAGGCUGUAUCACCAGAGAAACUUGGUGCAAGAGAUUGAGCUUACUUUCGGCUUUUAUCUUGUUGUAGAAUAGAGUAGGCUUUAUUGAUGGGUGGAAGGGGGUUCAUCAACAUAAUGGCACUUUUAAGUGUGGAAUAGGGAUCAUUCAGACCAUUGAGAAACUGAAACAAUUGUUGACCUUCAAUGAACUUAGGUAGGGCCCCACAUGAGCAAAUAGGCCCUAAAUAGGAGGAGUUUAAUUCAUCCCAUAAACUCCUCAUCUUUGUAAAGUAGGAAGCUAUAUCAGAUAAACCCUAAGUAGUUGAGAAGAUAUCCCUAUGAAUUUGUAUGUACUUAUACCCAUUCAAUUGGCCAAAUCUUUCAUUAAUGUCUUUCCAAACUUCUUUGGCAGUCUUAAAGCACAUAACACUGGUGGCUAUCUCCCUGGAUACAGAGUUUGUUAUCCAGGCUUUGACCAUAUGAUGACACCGCUCACAAUAUGGAAAAUAAGGUGAUUCAGGAGAGAGUUGUGGAACUCUUCCAUCCAACAUACUGAGCUUAUUCUUUGCAGUUAGAGAAGUAAGCACACUAGUACGCCAAAGAGAAAAACCACACCCAUUGAACGAUACCGACACUAACAGGAUUAUCAUAUGGAUGGAUAUAGAAAGGAUGCGAGGGAUCCAGGGUAAAUGAACAAAACCGUGUGUAGUACUCGAAGGAUUGGCGUUAUUCUCCAAGCUACCCAUAAUACAUAAUACCACAAUAGUAGAAUCUAAAGGAAAGGAUCAGAUUUACUCUAAACAAUUUUAGGAAAAUCAUAUGUUGACAAAACUAGUGAUAAUCCCGAACACACAAACCACAGAAUCUACAGAAAUUCGAAGGAAGCAAAUCAGAAGAAUCUUACCAGCCUUCUUCUAUAACUCGAAGAAGUGAGGUCUCGCGAACACACAAACCCUAGAAUUGAUUUGAGCCACGAAAACACCAUAGAACUUCGAGCAAAUGAAAACUUCUAUCGCAACAAGCUGUCCGAAGUCAGAAAUAAAGAAAUACCCAAUUUUCAUCGGCUAAAUCGAGAAUCUCCAGGUCCAUUGCGAAUGUCAAACGAGUACAAAAUUGACAGUAUUUUGAUGGAAAUACUAUCAUAGUAGAACCUAUAGUUACAGGAAUUAAGAUUCCACUCUGAUACCAUGUUAAUUUGAACCAUGUAAUAGCUAUGGAGAAUCCAUAGAAUAUUCAACCAUAGAUGAAGAGAGAAGAAGAGAGAAAAUGAAGAAUGAAAAAUGAGUCGGUCUAUUUUUG
rnacentral:lncRNA from 1 species